GUGGGUGUAGUUCAGUGGUAGAGCACAUGCUUAGCAUGCACAAGGUCCUGGGUGCAAUCCCUGGUACCUCCA
rnacentral:tRNA from 1 species